UGGGGAAUUUUGGACAAUGGGCGAAAGCCUGAUCCAGCAAUGCCGCGUGUGUGAAGAAGGCCUUCGGGUUGUAAAGCACUUUUGUCCGGAAAGAAAUCCUUGGCUCUAAUACAGUCGGGGGAUGACGGUACCGGAAGAAUAAGCACCGGCUAACUACGUGCCAGCAGCCGCGGUAAUACGUAGGGUGCAAGCGUUAAUCGGAAUUACUGGGCGUAAAGCGUGCGCAGGCGGUUUGCUAAGACCGAUGUGAAAUCCCCGGGCUCAACCUGGGAACUGCAUUGGUGACUGGCAGGCUAGAGUAUGGCAGAGGGGGGUAGAAUUCCACGUGUAGCAGUGAAAUGCGUAGAGAUGUGGAGGAAUACCGAUGGCGAAGGCAGCCCCCUGGGCCAAUACUGACGCUCAUGCACGAAAGCGUGGGGAGCAAACAGGAUUAGAUACCCUGGUAGUCCACGCCCUAAAACGAUGUCAACUAGUUGUUGGGGAUUCAUUUCCUUAGUAACGUAGCUAACGCGUGAAGUUGACCGCCUGGUGAGUACGGUCGCAAGAUUAAAACUC
rnacentral:rRNA from 1 species